CAAGUCGAGCGAACGGACGAGAAGCUUGCUUCUCUGAUGUUAGCGGCGGACGGGUGAGUAACACGUGGAUAACCUACCUAUAAGACUGGGAUAACUUCGGGAAACCGGAGCUAAUACCGGAUAAUAUUUUGAACCGCAUGGUUCAAAAGUGAAAGACGGUCUUGCUGUCACUUAUAGAUGGAUCCGCGCUGCAUUAGCUAGUUGGUAAGGUAACGGCUUACCAAGGCAACGAUGCAUAGCCGACCUGAGAGGGUGAUCGGCCACACUGGAACUGAGACACGGUCCAGACUCCUACGGGAGGCAGCAGUAGGGAAUCUUCCGCAAUGGGCGAAAGCCUGACGGAGCAACGCCGCGUGAGUGAUGAAGGUCUUCGGAUCGUAAAACUCUGUUAUUAGGGAAGAACAUAUGUGUAAGUAACUGUGCACAUCUUGACGGUACCUAAUCAGAAAGCCACGGCUAACUACGUGCCAGCAGCCGCGGUAAUACGUAGGUGGCAAGCGUUAUCCGGAAUUAUUGGGCGUAAAGCGCGCGUAGGCGGUUUUUUAAGUCUGAUGUGAAAGCCCACGGCUCAACCGUGGAGGGUCAUUGGAAACUGGAAAACUUGAGUGCAGAAGAGGAAAGUGGAAUUCCAUGUGUAGCGGUGAAAUGCGCAGAGAUAUGGAGGAACACCAGUGGCGAAGGCGACUUUCUGGUCUGUAACUGACGCUGAUGU
rnacentral:rRNA from 1 species